rnacentral:ncRNA from 1 species
GGGCGACCCAGAAUCUGAAGGAAGUCGGCGGCAAAUCUCCGCCCUUAGGAACACGAACUUCAUCAGGCUAGGUAUACUUGGGUGAGGUUGCAUUACAAACUAAAACCCUUACUGCCAAAGGGUAUACAAAGUAAAUGAAGUGGGGACAUGGAGAGGAAGAAU